GUCCAAGAAACUUCUGAAACUUACACAGAACAAGGACUGUGACACGAAGUUGAAGAGGUGGCUGCGCAGCAUAAAAAAACCAUGUCUACUGGAGUGCGACGAGCACAACCUCGGGCCGGAGAAGGUGGCAAGGUGGACGUCACUGGUCAACCACCUACAAAACGUUCACGUGCAUGAUGACCCCCUGUUCCCCAAGUGCACACAUCCUGUAGGAGCCGCAAGCGAUGCAAAUAAACCUUACCUAAAAGGUGGCUCAAUAACACUCGCCAGAGUUGAAACGAUACUCACCAACAAGAGAGUUCUCAAAGAUGUGCUAAAGCUAAGCCAUCACUACCAGACCUCAUCCCUGGAGUCCUUCCACAACUUAAUUCUGCGUUUUACCCCAAAAAAAUGUGGUUUUCCCCUUCAUUGGAAUGUUGUGCACUGUAUACUUUAUUCUAGCAUCUUAUAACACAGUCACUGUUUAGUGGCAUGAGGGUUUUAUUCUGUCAUAACACAAAGUCUCAUUUUAUUUUGCUAUUCUAUAGGUUGUGUCUAGCAGCAAUGCAUCACAACGAGAAUGCUGGGCGUGACCAAGCGACAACUGCUGCAGGAAAACUUGUCUUCAAAUUGGCUUAUCCAAAAUCAAAGAGGGGAGAGUGUACGGUCAAGCCUGUUAAGAACGACCCUACAUACAGUAAUCUAUGUGGAUGAGCUGACGAGGCUUGUGUUUCACAAAGUCUUUCUGGACCCUACACCCUUUGUGGACGAGCUGAAACGAAUCCACGUCCCAGAGGACCUGUCAACUCAAUUUGACAGGCCCCCCAAGGAGGAAAUUAUUGUCAGCCGUUUCUCCCCAAAGAAGGUCGAAAUCCUACAUAUUGUCCAGCCAGAUCUGGAAACUCCUGGCGGAUCCGGAGCACAACACACGACGGAAUCACCACUCUGAUGCCUCGCCCUAAAUAUCCCCAGCACCAGCUUACAAAGCUGCGAUACGCAAGAUAUCGAAAACGCUUAUCAGGAGAGGAUUGGAUGAUGUACAGUGUAUAAAUAUACAUUCACACAUUUUGUACAUUUGUAAAAAUAAAGUUUGAUGGAAAUACUUA